rnacentral:rRNA from 1 species
UGGCUUAGCUUCGUAGUGACCUGCGGAGGAUCAUUACCGAGUGAGGGCCCUCUGGGUCCAACCUCCCACCCAUGUUUAUUGUACCUUGUUGCUUCGGCGGGCCCGCCUCACGGCCGCCGGGGGGCUUCUGCCCUCUGGCCCGCGCCCGCCGAAGACACCAUUGAACACUGUCUGAAGAUUGCAGUCUGAGCAAUUAGCUAAAUAAGUUAAAACUUUCAACAACGGAUCUCUUGGUUCCGGCAUCGAUGAAGAACGCAGCGAAAUGCGAUACGUAAUGUGAAUUGCAGAAUUCAGUGAAUCAUCGAGUCUUUGAACGCACAUUGCGCCCCUUGGUAUUCCGGGGGGCAUGCCUGUCCGAGCGUCAUUGCUGCCCUCAAGCACGGCUUGUGUGUUGGGCCCCGUCCUCCUUCCCGGGGGACGGGCCCGAAAGGCAGCGGCGGCACCGCGUCCGGUCCUCGAGCGUAUGGGGCUUUGUCACCCGCUCUUGUAGGCCCGGCCGGCGCUUGCCGACAACCAUCAAUCUUUUUUCAGGUUGACCUCGGAUCAGGUAGGGAUACCCGCUGAACUUAAGCAUAUCAAUAAGCGGAGGAA